rnacentral:rRNA from 1 species
UACAGAGGGUGCGAGCGUUAAUCGGAAUUACUGGGCGUAAAGCGCGCGUAGGCGGCUUUGCAAGUCGGGUGUGAAAUCCCCAGGCUUAACCUGGGAACUGCAUUCGAGACUGCAUUGCUAGAGUAUGGGAGAGGGAAGUGGAAUUUUCGGUGUAGCGGUGAAAUGCGUAGAUAUCGGAAGGAACAUCAGUGGCGAAAGCGACUUCCUGGACCAAUACUGACGCUCAUGUGCGAAAGCGUGGGGAGCAAACGGG